rnacentral:tRNA from 1 species
UGGGUGGUUGGUGUAAUGGUUAGCAUUGCUGCCUUCCAAGCAGCAGACAUGGGUUCGAUUCCCGUACCACUCAAC